rnacentral:rRNA from 1 species
CACAUGCAAGUCGAACGGGAUGCUUAGGCAUCUAGUGGCGGACGGGUGAGUAACGCGUGAGAAUCUGGCUCCAGGUCGGGGAUAACAGUUGGAAACGACUGCUAAUACCGGAUGUGCCGAGAGGUGAAAGAUUUAUUGCCUGGAGAUGAGCUCGCGUCUGAUUAGCUAGUUGGUGGUGUAAGGGACCACCAAGGCGUCGAUCAGUAGCUGGUCUGAGAGGAUGAUCAGCCACACUGGGACUGAGACACGGCCCAGACUCCUACGGGAGGCAGCAGUGGGGAAUUUUCCGCAAUGGGCGAAAGCCUGACGGAGCAAUACCGCGUGAGGGAGGAAGGCUCUUGGGUCGUAAACCUCUUUUCUCAAGGAAGAAGAAAGUGACGGUACUUGAGGAAUAAGCAUCGGCUAACUCCGUGCCAGCAGCCGCGGUAAUACGGAGGAUGCAAGCGUUAUCCGGAAUGAUUGGGCGUAAAGGGUCUGCAGGUGGAACUGAAAGUCUGCUGUUAAAGAGUUUGGCUUAACCAAAUAAAAGCGGUGGAAACUACAGAACUAGAGUGCGGUAGGGGCAAAAGGAAUUCCUGGUGUAGCGGUGAAAUGCGUAGAUAUCAGGAAGAACACCGGUGGCGAAAGCGUUUUGCUAGACCGUAACUGACACUGAGGGACGAAAGCUAGGGGAGCGAAUGGGAUUAGAUACCCCAGUAGUCCUAGCCGUAAACGAUGGAUACUAGGCGUGGCUUGUAUCGACCCGAGCCGUGCCGGAGCUAACGCGUUAAGUAUCCCGCCUGGGGAGUACGCACGCAAGUGUGAAACUCAAAGGAAUUGACGGGGGCCCGCACAAGCGGUGGAGUAUGUGGUUUAAUUCGAUGCAACGCGAAGAACCUUACCAAGACUUGACAUCCUGCGAAUCCUGGUGAAAGCUAGGAGUGCCUUAGGGAGCGCAGAGACAGGUGGUGCAUGGCUGUCGUCAGCUCGUGUCGUGAGAUGUUGGGUUAAGUCCCGCAACGAGCGCAACCCUCGUUUUUAGUUGCCAGCAUUAAGUUGGGCACUCUAGAGAGACUGCCGGUGACAAACCGGAGGAAGGUGAGGAUGACGUCAAGUCAGCAUGCCCCUUACGUCUUGGGCUACACACGUACUACAAUGCUACGGACAGAGGGCAGCNAGCCAGGGAUGGCAAGCGAAUCCAGAAACCGUAGCUCAGUUCAGAUCGAAGGCUGCAACUCGCCUUCGUGAAGGAGGAAUCGCUAGUAAUUGCAGGUCAGCAUACUGCAGUGAAUUCGUUCCCGGGCCUUGUACACACCGCCCGUCACACCAUGGAAGUUGGUCACGCCCGAAGUCAUUACCCCAACCGAAAGGAGGGGGAUGCCUAAGGUAGGACUGGUGACUGGGGUGAA